CCCUCAGCGCGUGGUCCUGGUCGCGAGCACAUGGAAUGAGGUCGAGAUUUGUGUCUGUGAGACGCGCGACUGAUCAUCAGAAAAAAGGAAUUUAAAAUCGCUAAAGCUGCAACGAAACCAGCCAGAACAAGUCGAACGAAUUUCAUCCCAUGACGUCUCCCUCUCUUCCUGCUCCUCUGCUCACUUCCAAGUAGCCCAGCACAGUUUAUGCCACCAAAUGACACACUGCUAUAAACACACUGAGGAGGUCGGAGUGAACCAUCAAUCACAGGAGAGAGGAAACGUGAUCCUCAGCUGCUUGUCAAACAGUCCUCCUGUGCAGCUCGACAGGGUGGGUGGUGUUGCAGACCCCUCGUGUAGGCCAGGUCCGAUUGCAGCUGUUGCACUCGUAGAUGACUGAAGAUACUGAUCUGAAUGGGGAGGAUGCAAAGGUGGAAGCAGUCAGUGUUGGAUUCGGUUUCACUGCAUCUCAAUGGAGGGCGCGCGUGCACACACACACACACACACACACACACACACACACACACACACACACACACACACACACACACACACUACUAUCUGCUUCCCCCUUUCUCUGAGAGGACACAGAUACACCCUGAAUGGGCCCCUGUGGUGCUCCUCACUGUGGUUGGGAAGUACCUAGUGUUACAACUGUCGCGCUGGUGUACUUAAAGGGGCAGUGCUGCUCACUUUCAUUUGCCCUAAGCUCUGUUUUUAAUGCUUUUCAGUCACCUUAACAGAGGGUCAUAUAGUUGGAUGUUUGAGUUGGCGCCUUUAAAUAGUGUGUGAGAAAGUGGAGUGCAGAAGGUGCUUUCUGUAUAAUAUAUGUCAGGACACUAAAUGGACUCACUUGAGAGCUGAAGGAGACUCUUUGUAUUGAUUGGUGUUUGUCAUAUCAUUAAUAAAAAAUAUAAAUUAAAUGCGUUUAAAUGUAUCUUAAUUUCUAUAAACUCGAUUGGAAAAGUGAAAUAGAGAAGUGUACUCAAAUUCUCACGACUCUCGAAGAAAAAAAUGGAAUUUGUUUUGCAAUCGUUUCGUGUUUUUAUUUGCAUGUUCCAUGUGUGUUAUCUGAGCCUUUCCUGGCAUCUUUUUUUCGACUUUGUUGAAUGUUUUUGAAAAAGCUGCACUCUUGUCUGAAUACAUUUUUCACUCUGGCAGAUGUU